rnacentral:rRNA from 1 species
GUGCCAGCCGCCGCGGUAAUACGGAAGGUCCGGGUGUUAUCCGGAUUUAUUGGGUUUAAAGGGAGCGCAGGCUGAAGGUUAAGCGUGACGUGAAAUGUAGCCGCUCAACGGCUGAACUGCGUCGCGAACUGGCUUUCUUGAGUGAGUACGACGUCAGCGGAAUUCGUGGUGUAGCGGUGAAAUGCUUAGAUAUCACGAAGAACCCCGAUUGCGAAGGCAGCUGGCGAGUCCUUUACUGACGCUAAAGCUCGAAGGUGCGGGUAUCGAACAGGAUUAGAUACCCUGGUAGUCCGCACGUAAACGAUGGAUGCCCGCUGUUGGCGACACACUGUCAGCGGCCAAGCGAAAGCGUUAAGCAUCCCACCUGGGGAGUACGCCGGCAACGGUGAAACUCAAAGGAAUUGACGGGGGCCCGCACAAGCGGAGGAACAUGUGGUUUAAUUCGAUGAUACGCGAGGAACCUUACCCGGGCUUGAACUGCAGGUGAACGAUCCAGAGAUGGUGAGGUCCUUCGGGACACCUGUGGAGGUGCUGCAUGGUUGUCGUCAGCUCGUGCCGUGAGGUGUCGGCUUAAGUGCCAUAACGAGCGCAACCCUGCCGUCAGUUGCCAUCAGGUAGAGCUGGGCACUCUGUCGGGACUGCCACCGUAAGGUGCGAGGAAGGUGGGGAUGACGUCAAAUCAGCACGGCCCUUACGUCCGGGGCUACACACGUGUUACAAUGGGCGGUACAGAGAGUCGGUCGGCGGCAAUGCCGAUCCAAUCCUCAAAGCCGUCCUCAGUUCGGAUUGGGUCUGCAACCCGACCCCAUGAAGCUGGAUUCGCUAGUAAUCGCGCAUCAGCCAUGGCGCGGUGAAUACGUUCCCGGGCCUUGCACACACCGCCCGU